UGCAUACAUAACUGUAAGUCACUUUAGAUAAAAGUGUCUGCUAAAUGGCAUAUU
rfam:Salmo salar isolate Sally breed double haploid chromosome ssa22, whole genome shotgun sequence.